rnacentral:rRNA from 1 species
CCUACGGGAGGCAGCAGUGGGGGAUAUUGCACAAUGGGGGAAACCCUGAUGCAGCGACGCCGCGUGGGUGAAGAAGCGCCUCGGCGCGUAAAGCCCUGUCAGCAGGGAAGAAAAUGACGGUACCUGAAGAAGAAGCCCCGGCUAACUACGUGCCAGCAGCCGGGGUCAUACGUAGGGGGCAAGCCGUAUCCGGAUUUACGUGGGGUAAAGGGGGCGCAGACGGCGGUGCAAGCCAGGAGUGAUAGCCCGGGGCCCAACCCCGGGACUGACCUUGGAACUGCGUGGCUAGAGUGCAGGAGGGGCAGGCGGAAUUCCUGGUGUAGCGGUGAAAUGCGUAGAUAUCAGGAGGAACACCGGUGGCGAAGGCGGCCUGCUGGACUGCAACUGACGUUGAGGCCCGAAAGCGUGGGGAGCAAACAGGAUUAGAUACCCUGGUAGUC